rnacentral:rRNA from 1 species
UACGUAGGCAGCAAGCGUUGUUCGGAGUUACUGGGCGUAAAGGGUGCGUAGGCGGUCCUAUAAGUAUGGUGUGAAAUCUCCCGGCUUAACUGGGAGGGUGCGCCGGAAACUGGAGUGCUCGAGCGUGGGAGAGGAAAGCGGAAUUCCUGGUGUGGCGGUGAAAUGCGUAGAUAUCAGGAGGAACACCUGCGGUGUAGACGGCUUUCUGGACCAUUGCUGACGCUGAGACACGAAAGCGUGGGUAGCAAACAGG